CUACAGAGUCCACAUCCACACUAGCCUAACCCUAAAUAUCCUUCUCCGAUCUCCUCCCGUCCCCAACUAUUAGCCGCCGCCGCUCCACCUAUCGUCCCCGCGCUUCUCCAUGUCGUUGCCGGCGGCGCCAGCGCUGAACCACCCCGCAUCGGAGCCCUGCCCUACUACCCCACGCCAUGCCCCUCCCCAUUCAGACCACCCCCUUGAGCUACGGCGGCCCGGUCCUACCCCUGAGCCAUGGCGGCAGUGGCGGCGGCUGGACAAAGUGCCGGAUUUGUAAGUCCCCGAGGUCACCGGCUACGGGGGUGCUGGAUUUGGAAGUCCCUUAGGUUGCCGGCGGCGGGAACGGAUCCAUCUCCAUCCGGCGGCGAGCGAAGGCGAGUUACAGGAGGUGGCUACAGUGCCCUGGAUCCAGAGUAGAUGGACGGCCCUUGUGGCCGGGUCCAAUUGUCCGCCAGCCACGCCGACGUUAGUCCCCUCAUCAUCGCGGCCGUCUUCUCCAUCCAUGGCGCGCGUCUCCUCAAGGCAAUGCUGUGGAGGUAAUAUUUCACCGAAGGUAAUAUUGUGACGUAGUGUAGCUAGUAAAAUAAAGUUCAUUCAGAGUUUGCUUUUAAAACAUCUGAUUUAGAGGCUAAAGCAGAGGAGAAAUAGCUAAGUCAGCUAGCUUAGACAAACAGAGGAGAAUCCUUUGUGUUUCAUAUUCUUAGAGCAAGUCAGCUGAAACUCUGAAAACUUAGGGUGGACAUUGGCGAGUGCAUUCUUAUUUGUUCUUUUCCUGAUAGUUUUUUGUAACAAAAUAAUACUAAUCUGGAAACAACCAAACAGUACACUUAAGGGAUACAUUUUCCAUAGCCCACUGAUUCAUCUACCCGAUCUAUACAUAUAAACCAGACAUUUUUUGUGACUGCAUACGUCUAUACUCAAUAGUAAUAUUUUCCCCAUCCUCGUUGAUUUGUAAAGGGAGAGCACAUAAAUAUUUUGCAGAGGCGCACUAUGCAUCUGAUAAAUAAGCAAAAUUAUGAUUUUAAAAAGGCAAUGUAAAAAUAUCCUCUAGAGAAAAUGUUAGUGUAUAGCUAUGGCGUGUUUUAGUUUGUACUGAUAAUCUGUUACCACGUCUAAAAUUGCCUCAUAGACAUUCUUUUGUUUUUACUGAUAUGUAUUGUUAUCGUAUAAAAAGGGAUCUUUUGCUGUUGUUGAAAGCAAGGUAUUACUAACUGACAAGUUCCAUCGAUUGUGUGUCUCCUCAAGACAAUGUUCAUAAAGUCGCUGCUUCUGCCAACUUCUGCCUUGCCGCUGCAUGGAGUCGCCUCGCCGCCGCCAUAGCCGCCCAUUGUCACUUUCCAGCAAGGUGCACACACGCACCCAACAUCCAUCCAUCCCUAGGGGAGAUCAGCAUGUGAACAACCACGGCCAUUUCUCUUGGCCAGCACAAGCAGUGCCAUCGGCAGUCAAGACAAGCAGCCAACAACUGGAGAAAGUCCUGAAUCUGGUUAAGAGUUUUCUUGUUGGUACAUUUUUUUGACUUAUAUUUGUUGUUUAAGGUUCAAUAACACUGAAAUAACACAUGUGUGCGUAAAAGAUAUGUCUGCAGAAGAAGACAAGCUGUGUGGUAGUUCACGUUUUUGACUUAUAAACAGUACAUCUCCCACCUGAUCGAUGCCGAUGCCACAGUCCUCGAGCAGAACAGGAUUUGGUAGUUAAUCCAUGUUACUGGAGAUUGAAGUUUUUUAGCAGGAAUUACUUGGCUUCGGAUAGCUGCCUUCAAUCGUUGCUGUCGUUGGAGAUUAAAAUAUGUUAGCAGUGCAUUUUCUUUUAAGUCAUGUAACUCACUCUUUAAAAAAACUUAUAGUGCUUUCUAGAUAUGCUCGUGAUGUUUUGAUAUUAGCUUUGCUUUUUCAAAUCAGAUUAGAUUGUUGGAAAUCUGUAUUGUCAUGUAAACUAUUGCUAUUUUUGAAGGAAUGUAGUUUGGUUGUCUUGUUGUAAA